GUGGGGAAUAUUGGACAAUGGGCGAAAGCCUGAUCCAGCAAUGCCGCGUGAGUGAAGAAGGCCUUCGGGUUGUAAAGCUCUUUUACCCGGGAAGAUAAUGACUGUACCGGGAGAAUAAGCCCCGGCUAACUCCGUGCCAGCAGCCGCGGUAAUACGGAGGGGGCUAGCGUUGUUCGGAAUUACUGGGCGUAAAGCGCACGUAGGCGGUCUUUUAAGUCAGAGGUGAAAGCCCGGGGCUCAACUCCGGAAUUGCCUUUGAAACUGGAAGACUUGAACACGGGAGAGGUGAGUGGAAUUCCGAGUGUAGAGGUGAAAUUCGUAGAUAUUCGGAGGAACACCAGUGGCGAAGGCGGCUCACUGGACCGUUGUUGACGCUGAGGUGCGAAAGCGUGGGGAGCAAACAGGAUUAGAAACCCUAGUAGUCC
rnacentral:rRNA from 1 species